GCGAGCGUAGUUCAAUGGUAGAACUCCAGCUUCCCAAGCUGGUGGUGCGGGUUCGAUUCCCGUCGCUCGCUCCA
rnacentral:tRNA from 2 species